rnacentral:rRNA from 1 species
AUACGGAGGGGGUUAGCGUUGUUCGGAAUUACUGGGCGUAAAGCGCACGUAGGCGGAUUGGAAAGUUGGGGGUGAAAUCCCAGGGCUCAACCCUGGAACUGCCUCCAAAACUAACAGUCUAGAGUUCGAGAGAGCUGAGUUGAAUUCCAAGUGUAGAGGUGAAAUUCGUAGAUAUUUGGAGGAACACCAGUGGCGAAGGCGGCUCACUGGCUCGAUACUGACGCUGAGGUGCGAAAGCGUGGGGAGCAAACAGGAUUAGAAACCCUAGUAGUCC